GAUGAACGCUGGCGGCGUGCCUAAUACAUGCAAGUCGAGCGAACGGACGAGAAGCUUGCUUUUCUGAUGUUAGCGGCGGACGGGUGAGUAACACGUGGAUAACCUACCUAUAAGACUGGGAUAACUUCGGGAAACCGGAGCUACUACCGGAUAAUAUUUUGAACCGCAUGGUUCAAAAGUGAAAGACGGUCUUGCUGUCACUUAUAGAUGGAUCCGCGCUGCAUUAGCUAGUUGGUAAGGUAACGGCUUACCAAGGCAACGAUGCAUAGCCGACCUGAGAGGGUGAUCGGCCACACUGGAACUGAGACACGGUCCAGACUCCGACGGGAGGAAGCAGUAGGGAAUCUUCCGCAAUGGGCGAAAGCCUGACGGAGCAACGCCGCGUGAGUGAUGAAGGUCUUCGGAUCGUAAAACUCUGUUAUUAGGAAAGAACAUAUGUGUAAGUAACUGUGCACGUCUUGACGGUACCUAAUCAGAAAGCCACGGCUAACUACGUG
rnacentral:rRNA from 1 species